rnacentral:rRNA from 1 species
UACGUAGGGUGCAAGCGUUAUCCGGAUUCACUGGGUUUAAAGGGUGCGUAGGCGGCUAUAUAAGUCAGUGGUGAAAGCCCGCAGCUCAACUGCGGAACUGCCAUUGAAACUGCAUAGCUUGAAUCUGGUUGAAGUGGGCGGAAUACAUCAUGUAGCGGUGAAAUGCUUAGAUAUGAUGUAGAACACCGAUUGCGAAGGCAGCUCACUAAGCCAACAUUGACGCUGAGGCACGAAAGCGUGGGUAGCGAACAGG